rnacentral:rRNA from 2 species
CGAACUCUGGUAUUGAUUGGUGCUUGCAUCAUGAUUUACAUUUGAGUGAGUGGCGAACUGGUGAGUAACACGUGGGAAACCUGCCCAGAAGCGGGGGAUAACACCUGGAAACAGAUGCUAAUACCGCAUAACAACUUGGACCGCAUGGUCCGAGUUUGAAAGAUGGCUUCGGCUAUCACUUUUGGAUGGUCCCGCGGCGUAUUAGCUAGAUGGUGGGGUAACGGCUCACCAUGGCAAUGAUACGUAGCCGACCUGAGAGGGUAAUCGGCCACAUUGGGACUGAGACACGGCCCAAACUCCUACGGGAGGCAGCAGUAGGGAAUCUUCCACAAUGGACGAAAGUCUGAUGGAGCAACGCCGCGUGAGUGAAGAAGGGUUUCGGCUCGUAAAACUCUGUUGUUAAAGAAGAACAUAUCUGAGAGUAACUGUUCAGGUAUUGACGGUAUUUAACCAGAAAGCCACGGCUAACUACGUGCCAGCAGCCGCGGUAAUACGUAGGUGGCAAGCGUUGUCCGGAUUUAUUGGGCGUAAAGCGAGCGCAGGCGGUUUUUUAAGUCUGAUGUGAAAGCCUUCGGCUCAACCGAAGAAGUGCAUCGGAAACUGGGAAACUUGAGUGCAGAAGAGGACAGUGGAACUCCAUGUGUAGCGGUGAAAUGCGUAGAUAUAUGGAAGAACACCAGUGGCGAAGGCGGCUGUCUGGUCUGUAACUGACGCUGAGGCUCGAAAGUAUGGGUAGCAAACAGGAUUAGAUACCCUGGUAGUCCAUACCGUAAACGAUGAAUGCUAAGUGUUGGAGGGUUUCCGCCCUUCAGUGCUGCAGCUAACGCAUUAAGCAUUCCGCCUGGGGAGUACGGCCGCAAGGCUGAAACUCAAAGGAAUUGACGGGGGCCCGCACAAGCGGUGGAGCAUGUGGUUUAAUUCGAAGCUACGCGAAGAACCUUACCAGGUCUUGACAUACUAUGCAAAUCUAAGAGAUUAGACGUUCCCUUCGGGGACAUGGAUACAGGUGGUGCAUGGUUGUCGUCAGCUCGUGUCGUGAGAUGUUGGGUUAAGUCCCGCAACGAGCGCAACCCUUAUUAUCAGUUGCCAGCAUUAAGUUGGGCACUCUGGUGAGACUGCCGGUGACAAACCGGAGGAAGGUGGGGAUGACGUCAAAUCAUCAUGCCCCUUAUGACCUGGGCUACACACGUGCUACAAUGGAUGGUACAACGAGUUGCGAACUCGCGAGAGUAAGCUAAUCUCUUAAAGCCAUUCUCAGUUCGGAUUGUAGGCUGCAACUCGCCUACAUGAAGUCGGAAUCGCUAGUAAUCGCGGAUCAGCAUGCCGCGGUGAAUACGUUCCCGGGCCUUGUACACACCGCCCGUCACACCAUGAGAGUUUGUAACACCCAAAGUCGGUGGGGUAACCUUUUAGGA